rnacentral:rRNA from 1 species
GAUGAACGCUGGCGGCGUGCCUAAUACAUGCAAGUCGAGCGAACGGACGAGAAGCUUGCUUCUCUGAUGUUAGCGGCGGACGGGUGAGUAACACGUGGAUAACCUACCUAUAAGACUGGGAUAACUUCGGGAAACCGGAGCUAAUACCGGAUGAUAUUUUGAACCGCAUGGUUCAAUAGUGAAAGACGGUCGUGCUGUCACUUAUAGAUGGAUCCGCGCUGCAUUAGCUAGUUGGUAAGGUAACGGCUUACCAAGGCAACGAUGCAUAGCCGACCUGAGAGGGUGAUAGGCCACACGGGAGCUGAGACACGGUCCAGACUCCUACGGGAGGCAGCAGUAGGGAAUCGGACGCAAUGGGCGAAAGCCUGACGGAGCAACGCCGAGUGAGUGACGAAGGUCUUCGGAUCGUAAAACUCUGUUAUGAGGGAAGAACAUAUGUGUAAGUAACCGUGCACAUCGUGACGGUACCGAAUCAGAAAGCCCCGGCUAACUACGUG